AACAAGUAUAGUUUUGCACUGGUCAUGUCUAAUAUUUGGCUGUUCAUUUUAUUUAAAAAAUUUUUAUGAUUAGUAUUUUGUUGUUAUUAGAUGAUAAAACAUAAAUAGUACUUUAUGUGUGACUAAUUUUUUUAAUUUUUUCAUAAAUUUUUUAAAUAAGACGGACGGUUAAACGUUGAACACGGAUAUUCACGGCUGCGUUUAUU
rfam:Oryza punctata chromosome 8, whole genome shotgun sequence.